UUGUGUCAGAGUACAGUGGAACCAUGAAAACCAGACUGUCAUCAUGUUAUACACUAUAGAGAAAUGCUAGUUAUGUUCAACUGCGCCUUACAAAGUAGAUCGCAGAGCCAUAUACAGCAGAACUUUCAUGUCAAGUCUGCCAGGCGCCCAUUCUAGGCUGUAUGAGAGAGGUAUCUAGAGGUUCUAGGCUGUAUACUGUGUGAGAGAGGUAUCCUCUUUGGCUUUCUCAGGAAGGAACAGGUGUGUGCUUUCCUACAGAUCCUACAGGCAGAGACCUCGGAAGAAGCCUGCAUGAGACAGUCAUCUGGAGUUGCAAGGAAAGAGUAUGUGAUCUCGGAGAGGCUGCAGUCCUCUGGAGAGGAGAGAAG
rnacentral:lncRNA from 1 species